rnacentral:rRNA from 1 species
UACAGAGACUGCGAGCGUUAUUCGGAUUCACUGGGCGUAAAGGGUGCGCAGGCGGCCGAGUGUGUGAGGCGUGAAAGCCCGGGGCUUAACCCCGGAAUUGCACCUCAAACUACACGGCUAGAGCAUUGGAGAGGGUAGCAGAAUUCAUGGUGUAGCAGUGAAAUGCGUAGAUAUCGUCUGGAACGCCGAAGGUGAAAACAGCUCGCUGGGGCUGCGCUGACGCUGAGACACGAAAGCCAGGGGAGCGAACGGG